UACGUAGGGUCCGAGCGUUGUUCGGAAUUACUGGGCGUAAAGGGCGCGUAGGCGGCCUGCUAAGUCGAACGUGAAAUCCCUGGGCUCAACCCAGGAACUGCGUCCGAUACUGGUUGGCUUGAAUCCGGGAGAGGGAUGCGGAAUUCCAGGUGUAGCGGUGAAAUGCGUAGAUAUCUGGAGGAACACCGGUGGCGAAGGCGGCAUCCUGGACCAACACUGACACUGAGGAGCGAAAGCCAGGGGAGCAAACGGG
rnacentral:rRNA from 1 species